rnacentral:snRNA from 1 species
GGAUGUAAGAAUGGUCUUGCUGUGACAUCCAUCACCCCACUGAUCACCAGUGUUUAUUCGACUGGCCAGACGCAUGGCCCCUUCCUCCCUGAUCACUCUAUAUACAUCCCUGCUGAAGUUCCACACUAGUCAAGGAAGACAAUCUUCCCAGAUAUGGGAGGACCACUCUUCAGUCAAAGGCAGAACCACUACACAAGUUCUCAUAAAGAGAUGCAUAGGAGCCAGUAACACUGAGGCAUCAUGGUAGCUAAUGACUAAUAUAUUAAUUUAAGAAUAUUUUCACUUCAAUUAGCAAUUCUAGAU